UCAAAAUUCCAAUCUUGUAUGAAUCUUAUGGUGGAACAAAGAAAAAAAAAUUCCAACAUCCAUGGAAGAAAAUCCGAAUCCAAAUCCAUACAUGCAGAUGAAUAACAGAGAGAAAGGAAAAGGCGGAGGGGGGGGGGGGGGGGGGGGGAGAGGAGGAGGAGACCAAUAGGUCUCAUCAAUUUGUUACAUUAGAACAAGGAGUCACAAUUAUUUUUUGUUUCACAAAUUGGCAAAUUUAGAUAAGUUUAAGCGCAAUAUUGCAGUCAGUAAAAAGAAAAGAAAAACAACAGUAAAAAGAAAAGACAAACAACAGAUUUAAAUGGUUCAUAAUCAAAGUACAAUUACAUCCAUAAAUGAAAGCUAUGAAAUGGCUUCACCACAACAUUGAGUAAAACGCAUAUUAAAGCCUCAAAAAAGGGGGAAAUGAAGGCAUUACCUUGGAACUCAUAAAUCUCCAAAACUAACAACUCACUAUGGACUACAUUUCAUCAAAACACAAAUCUAAAAAAUAUUGGAUAUCACUAAAUCUAAUAAAAUAUAUGUCCCUGGCAAAACAUUGAAUGAUCAAGACCGGUUUACAAUCUAGCUUGAUUUUCUCAUAUCUCCAUAUUCAAUCAGUCAUCCCCAGUGCUUCACUUCAUUCGGCAUCCACCACAAAAUGGGAAAAAAGGAAAAGGGAGAGGCCCUAAUAAUCAAUCUAGAGGUAUCUAUCAUAUAUAAGCUGCACCUUUUCCUAUUCUGAUGCCUAGUGAAGCUGUUAAUGUAUUUCAACGAAAUAUGUCAUUUUCACUUUAGCACUUCAAUCUCCCUUUCAACAGUUCAUCCUUCCAUAUUUCAUGUUGAAGGAAAAUAGAUAAUAAGCAUAGAUAUUUAGACAUAUGUAUGUUUCUAGUUUGCAUAUAUAAUCAGCCAUAAAUAGCCAAAUUUUGACAACAAAUAUGCAUUAUAUCAUAUUCAUCAUCAUCAACAACAAUAACAACAACUAAGCCUUAAUCCCA
rnacentral:misc_RNA from 1 species